rnacentral:rRNA from 1 species
UAGGGAAUAUUGGGCAAUGGGCGAAAGCCUGACCCAGCCAUGCCGCGUGAGCGAUGACGGUCCUCGAGAUUGUAAAGCUCUUUUCUGAGGAAAGAACAUCCCGGGUAGGAAAUGCCCCGGGCUUGACGGUACCUCAGGAAUAAGGAACGGCUAACUCCGUGCCAGCAGCCGCGGUAAUACGGAGGUUCCAAGCGUUGUUCGGAAUUACUGGGCGUAAAGGGAGCGCAGGCGGACAAGUCAGUCUAAAGUGAAAUCCCGGGGCUCAACCUCGGACUUGCUUCGGAUACUGCUUGUCUUGAGUUCGUGAUAGGAAGAUGGAAUUCAGGGUGUAGCGGUGAAAUGCACAGAUAUCCUGAGGAACACCGGUGGCGAAAGCGGUCUUCUGGCGCGAAACUGACGCUGAGGCUCGAAAGCGUGGGUAGCAAACGG